rnacentral:rRNA from 1 species
AGUGAACGCUGGCGGUAGGCCUAACACAUGCAAGUCGAACGGCAGCACAGUAAGAGCUUGCUCUUACGGGUGGCGAGUGGCGGACGGGUGAGGAAUACAUCGGAAUCUACUUUUUCGUGGGGGAUAACGUAGGGAAACUUACGCUAAUACCGCAUACGACCUACGGGUGAAAGCAGGGGAUCUUCGGACCUUUCGCGAUUGAAUGAGCCGAUGUCGGAUUAGCUAGUUGGCGGGGUAAAGGCCCACCAAGGCGACGAUCCGUAGCUGGUCUGAGAGGAUGAUCAGCCACACUGGAACUGAGACACGGUCCAGACUCCUACGGGAGGAAGCAGUGGGGAAUAUUGGACAAUGGGCGCAAGCCUGAUCCAGCCAUACCGCGUGGGUGAAGAAGGACUUCGGGUUGUAAAGCCCUUUUGUUGGGAAAGAAAAGCAGCAGGUUAAUACCCCGCUGUUCUGACGGUACCAAAAGAAUAAGCACCGGCUAACUUCGUG